AGUGAACGCUGGCGGUAGGCCUAACACAUGCGAGUCGAACGGCAGCACAGUAAGAGCUUGCUCUUACGGGUGGCGAGUGGCGGACGGGUGAGGAAUACAUCGGAAUCUACUUUUUCGUGGGGGAUAACGUAGGGAAACUUACGCUAAUACCGCAUACGACCUACGGGUGAAAGCAGGGGAUCUUCGGACCUUGCGCGAUUGAAUGAGCCGAUGUCGGAUUAGCUAGUUGGCGGGGUAAAGGCCCACCAAGGCGACGAUCCGUAGCUGGUCUGAGAGGAUGAUCAGCCACACUGGAACUGAGACACGGUCCGGACUCCUACGGGAGGCAGCAGUGGGGAAUAUUGGACAAUGGGCGCAAGCCUGAUCCAGCCAUACCGCGUGGGUGAAGAAGGCCUUCGGGUUGUAAAGCCCUUUUGUUGGGAAAGAAAAGCAGCAGGUUAAUACCCCGCUGUUCUGACGGUACCCAAAGAAUAAGCACCGGCUAACUUCGUG
rnacentral:rRNA from 1 species